CUGGUCCUACGGGGCGCAGCAGUCGAGAAUCAUUCACAAUGGGGGAAACCCUGAUGGUGCGACGCCGCGUGGGGGAAUGAAGGUCUUCGGAUUGUAAACCCCUGUCAUGUGGGAGCAAAUUAAAAAGAUAGUACCACAAGAGGAAGAGACGGCUAACUCUGUGCCAGCAGCCGCGGUAAUACAGAGGUCUCAAGCGUUGUUCGGAAUCACUGGGCGUAAAGCGUGCGUAGGCUGUUUCGUAAGUCGUGUGUGAAAGGCGCGGGCUCAACCUGCGGACGGCAAGUGAUACUGCGAGACUAGAGUAU
rnacentral:rRNA from 1 species